ACCACUACGAAGCUUUCCUUUAUAUACAAGGCCAUAACCUCCUUCACCCAAUUUGUCUUUAAAACCUCUUGUAAUCCUUUUGAUAUCAAAGUAAGAAUAUCUAAUUGGUAAGAAAUUAUUGUGACCUUGAAGAAAUUCUUCAAUGUUAUCAUACAUUGAUAAAUGCCUUCUUUUCCAUUUGUAGAUCAAAAAAGAGAUAACACAUAGUGUCCCACAAAGGCAUAGUGCCACACGACAUAGCACAAAGGAAGCGAGUAAAUAAGGGAGCAACCCUAUGGCAUAAUAGGGUGCAUGGUGCAGACGCGAGCUGCCACUGGGCAACCUUUGCAAGUCCCUGAACAAAUCUUUGGCAUUCCGAAAUGUGCACCCAAUUCCGCACUCAUACUCAAGUCGAUGAAAUAGACUACAAAGUAUAUCACACACAUACUCAAGUUGAUUAAAUAGACCACAAAGUAUAUCCGAUGCCUGGCGUUUAAUGUCUUCCUCUAUGUUAUCAAAAAGGCCGCAAUAGACUAUGAAAUCAUCAUGUAGGUUGCAGAGGUUUUCCUUAUAGUUGUCACAGCAACCGUAAAACCAUGAAAGCUCAAAUCCGUAUGACAUAAUACGGUGAAGAUCCUUAAAUGAAAUGUUCUUCACUUCUUCCGGCAUUAUAGAUGUCAUAACUAUCUGCUCUAUUCGGCACGAGUCCGCCAAAUCCGAUAAAUUUGUGGACCCAACCAUUACAUACCAAUGACCAGAAUUAUUGAUGCAAGAAGAAGCAUCCACAUAGAGUGGAGAACUCUGUACUUGAUCUUCACAGUUUACGAAAAUUAAGCUCUGAUAGUAUUCCUUCUCAUAGGAGACUACUUGUGGCCAAUAGAAGAGUGGAGUUUCCCAAUAAUUGUUAUGGAAUGUAUUCAAAGAAUGGCGAGGGAUGGAGGAGCAAUUAUCCUUUUGGACACCGGCAUCCAUCACUCGAAUUGUGUAGUUAUUGUAAUUGAUAGACUCAACGUAAUAUUUUGCCGAAUCCAAGUAUGCUACUGGAAGGUUGUUUUCACAAGUAAGUUCAUACUCUUUGUGGCCGCAGCUUUCAGGAUCGGUUUUCAAUCGAAAAGGGUAGCUAAUGUUGUGGAUAUUGCCACAAGAUGUGGUGCAGUUGUUGUUUGUUCUAGCGUAGCAACCUUGCAGAAUUAGCACCAGAAAAAGAAGAGCUGCAUAUCCAACAAAAAGGAUCCUUCGACUGCAAAUCAUUCUGUGAGCUAAGAGAAAGGAAGAGAGAGACGAUCAACCAGUGACACAGAGAUCACUUAC
rnacentral:misc_RNA from 1 species